CCUCCGGGAAUUUGCAGAUUUUUUAUUUCAAAAGUGUAAAUUCCCCACCCCCGGGCAAAUAAAAAAAGACAAUUCCCCACCCCGGGGACAAUAUCGGCUAUUGCGUUCCGUUUAUUUUCAUGCUAACUUUUGCGUGAUGUUUGUGUUGUCAAAAACGUUGCUUACUACUAUUAAGGUGGAGUAAUACGGGCAACAAAAUUGCUGCAACUUGCAACAAAAUCUGA